rnacentral:tRNA from 2 species
GCGGGAAUAGCUCAGUGGUAGAGCUCCACCUUGCCAAGGUGGAUGUCGCGGGUUCAAAUCCCGUUUCCCGCU